rnacentral:rRNA from 1 species
AACGAACGCUGGCGGCAGGCUUAACACAUGCAAGUCGAACGGGCACUUCGGUGUCAGUGGCAGACGGGUGAGUAACGCGUGGGAACAUACCCUGAGGUUCGGAACAACGCCGGGAAACUGGCGCUAAUACCGGAUACGCCCUGUGAAGGGGAAAGGCUUGCUGCCUUGGGAUUGGCCCGCGUUCGAUUAGCUUGAUGGCGGGGUAACGGCCCACCAUGGCGACGAUCGAUAGCUGGUCUGAGAGGAUGGCCAGCCACAUUGGGACUGAGACACGGCCCAAACUCCUACGGGAGGCAGCAGUGGGGAAUAUUGGACAAUGGGCGCAAGCCUGAUCCAGCCAUGCCGCGUGAGUGAUGACGGCCUUAGGGUUGUAAAGCUCUUUCGCACGCGACGAUAAUGACGGUAGCGUGAGAAGAAGCCCCGGCUAACUUCGUGCCAGCCGCCGCCGUAACAC